rnacentral:rRNA from 1 species
CCUACGGGGGGCUGCAGUGGGGAAUAUUGGACAAUGGGGGCAACCCUGAUCCAGCCAUGCCGCGUGUGUGAAGAAGGCCCUCGGGUUGUAAAGCACUUUCAGUGAGGAAGAACGCCUGGUGGUUAAUACCUAUCAGGAAAGACAUCACUCACAGAAGAAGCACCGGCUAACUCCGUGCCAGCAGCCGCGGUAAUACGGAGGGCGCGAGCGUUAAUCGGAAUUACUGGGCGUAAAGCGCGCGUAGGUGGCUUGAUAAGCCGGUUGUGAAAGCCCCGGGCUCAACCUGGGAACGGCAUCCGGAACUGUCAAGCUAGAGUGCAGGAGAGGAAGGUAGAAUUCCCGGUGUAGCGGUGAAAUGCGUAGAGAUCGGGAGGAAUACCAGUGGCGAAGGCGGCCUUCUGGACUGACACUGACACUGAGGUGCGAAAGCGUGGGUAGCAAACAGGAUUAGAUACCCGGGUAGUC